GAUGAACGCUGGCGGCAUGCCUAACACAUGCAAGUCGAUCGGUAAGGCUCUUCGGAGUACACGAGAGGCGGACGGCUGAGUAACGCGUAGGAACACACCCUGCAGUGAGGGAUAAGACACCGAAAGGUGUUCUAAUACCGCAUACGGUCUUCGGAUUAAAGCAUUUAUGCGCUGAAGGAGUAGCCUGCGUCAUAUUAGAUAGUUGGUGAGGUAACGGCUCACCAAGUCGAUGAUGUGUAGCUGGUCUGAGAGGAUGAUCAGCCAGACUGGAACUGAGACACGGUCCAGACUCCUACGGGAGGCAGCAGUGAGGAAUAUUUCACAAUGAGCGAAAGCUUGAUGGAGCAAUGCCGCGUGCAGGAUGAAGGCCCUCGGGUUGUAAACUGCUUUUAUAAGAGAAGAUUAUGACGGUAACUUAUGAAUAAGGGACGGCUAACUACGUG
rnacentral:rRNA from 1 species